UCCCUGAUAGCUAGGUUGGUAAAGAAUCUGCCUGCAAUGCAGAAGACCCCGGUUCAAUUCCUGGGUUGGGAA
rnacentral:tRNA from 1 species